rnacentral:rRNA from 1 species
GACGAACGCUGGCGGCGUGCUUAACACAUGCAAGUCGAACGGAAAGGCCCUGCUUUUGUGGGGUGCUCGAGUGGCGAACGGGUGAGUAACACGUGAGUAACCUGCCCUUGACUUUGGGAUAACUUCAGGAAACUGGGGCUAAUACCGGAUAGGAGCUCCUGCUGCAUGGUGGGGGUUGGAAAGUUUCGGCGGUUGGGGAUGGACUCGCGGCUUAUCAGCUUGUUGGUGGGGUAGUGGCUUACCAAGGCUUUGACGGGUAGCCGGCCUGAGAGGGUGACCGGCCACAUUGGCACUGGGAUACGGCCCAGACUCAUACGGGAGGCAGCAGUGGGGAACAUUGCACAAUGGGCGGAAGCCUGAUGCAGCAACGCCGCGUGCGGGAUGACGGCUUUCGGGUUGUAAACCGCUUUCGCCUGUGACGAAGCGUGAGUGACGGUAAUGGGUAAAGAAGCACCGGCUAAUUACGU